UAAAAAUUAAAGCUGCAUAUGUAAUGAUUUAUUUUAUUAUAUUUUUUAUUAUCGACUAAUCUAAAAGACCAUGUAAAAAGCUUUUAGCUCUGAAAAUUAAACCGAGAAAGUUUGAAGGUUGGAUAAUGUUUUUGGAUGGCAUUGUAAUGAAAGCAAGAUGAAGAUACAGGUCUAAGGAAUUGGAUAUAGAGAACUAAAAGCGAUGAAUUGACAGCAACCUGAUGAAAAAGCCAACAGUUAAUGCUACUCACCAUGUACUCGAGCAGGACAUUUCAGCAGCGCUCGUGAGCAGGAAAGUCAUCGUCAAAAGGAUCACAGAAAAGCAAACGUUCUGCUAGCACCAUAAGUCUUUGACACACUGAAAGAAUUGCCCGCUGACCAAUAUAAGGCUCGCUCCCAAGUUUGCGGAUCAAAUGCUGAACACAAAAUUGAGCAUUGGUCCCGGUGUAUUGAGACCCUAGAAGAUACGUAUUUAAAAGGAACGGCAAAAAAAGAGACAGAAGUCAACGAUUAGAAUGAUCCACAAAUAAAAGAUCACAAUGGCG
rnacentral:sRNA from 1 species